rnacentral:lncRNA from 1 species
CCAGCUCUCUCCAAAGAUUGUAUCAUAAAAUCUACAAAAACUCAAAUUUCAGCUUCAAUACUGCAGCAGUCCAAAAAAACAACAAUUUGACCAAACUAACCUCAAUCAAAUGCAGUCAAAAAGGACUACACGAAAACUUCAGGAAGCCAGCUAACCACCAUCGGAGCUUCCUACGUCACACACGAGCCAAAACGCCGAAGGCCGCUGCAGGAAAACUGCUAGAGCUGAAAUCCUCAAUGUGCGAAUGGUGGAAUAGGAGUAAUUUGGGAAGUUUAUAAGGGUUAAAAUGCAAAUUAUGGGUUCUCUGUGAAGAAGGGAGGAAAAUUGUAAGGACUGAGAUUUUUUUUGACAGUGCAACUAAACUCUCUGUUGAUGAUGUUUAUGUGUGUAAUUUAAUUACAUAAGCACUCGUCAAGUUUCGAACGAAAAUGAGCUAAAAUGGAGAAGAUACGCGAUUUUUAGUUUUCACUUAAGUGAAUAGU